ensembl:lncRNA
CAGAGUCAUGCACUUCAAGCUUUUCUUGAUUUUACCCUCAUUUGUGCAAUAUGUGACAUCAGCCUACACAGUCCACAUAAGAAAUGACUUAAUUCCAAGAAUCAGGAUCAGUGAUUUACUUACACUCCAGAUUAUGGUGAAAUCCCAACCUUUCUCAAACUUGGAGUUCCCCUUCAUUUAAUUUCUUUCUGCUUUUACAGUCACCUGAAUUAUUUUAUUUAGGUUCUGACUAUCACGAAUAUCACCCUGAAAUUUCUUAGUCAGUAAUCCAGACCUCAGAAACAACAAGUUCUUAGAAACCACUCAAAUACGCAAUAAAAUAAAAACCUGAGAAUCUGAGACAAGUAGAUAAGAGUAGCAUCCAGACUUUCAGCCCUGAUUGUUUUGAAAAAUUCAGAGCAUACAAAGAAGUAUAUCCCAGUGAGGUGGUAAUUACUGAGCUCAGCAGCCUAUUGUUAAGAUAUUAAAUUAAAGCCAAAUAAGAUACCUAACAACACUGCUUCUUAAAAAUAGUGACUCAUAGCCUAAUUGACGUGAGAAUCAAAUAAAUAUUGUGGAACUGCUUUAGGGGGAAAGACUUCUUUUGGAUUUAAGUUUCAUUUAAUGGAAUUCAUUGAACAUAUCCAAAAAAUUUCCAUAAAUUGUCCAAUAAAAAGCAUAAAGUCUUAAAGAGUUUUAAAAAGGGAUGAUGAAACUCUUUCCCUUUGCCACCCACUUCAUGAAAGGAGGAAUAUAGUGCUGUAAAUUCCCCUGUAAUUUUAGUAAUGGGGACCUGGAUUUGGAAGAGAAUGUCUAGGUAAAGAGUCCAAGCUGGCACAAAACUGCCCAAAAUAUAUAAGGAGGUGGGCUUUCAAGAGUUCUGACAAGAGAGCAGUUGAAUGGAGGAACUUGACUAUGAUGCAUUAGACAUAUCAGUCCCAGAGUAAACGUUCACUCAGUCAGCUUGUGGUUUUGUUUUCCUCGUGACAGAAUAUUGAUUUGAUGGGUUCUUUUCUUCUAGUUCGCUCUACAGGUUUUAUUUUAAGCAGCUUCUAUGUUGCUCUCUGUUAUACCUUGGCAUCUUAGAAGGGUUUCUACGUAACAGUUAGGUAGUCUUGAUAACUUUUGUCACUGAAACUAGGUCCUUCCCAAUCAAGUUGAGAGAGAGUCAGAGGAGACCUUAAUGUGAGGCAGAAUGAGCAGACUAUUUGGCAUCACAGAACAGAAUUUUUUCUCUAAUGCAUCUGAAGGUGUAUUUUCAGUGAAAUUGUUAGCAUUUUGUUUCUUUGCUUUCUCACUUAGAAUGAGAGGAUAAAAAUACUUAGAGGAUCCCCAUGCUGGAAAAAAAUAAAAUAAAAUAAAAUUAAAAAAAUACUUAGAGGAAUCUUGUGUCAUUAAAAGAAAUAAUGUAUGCAAAGAAUCAGAUUUAGUAAGUGCUCAAAAAAGUUUCCUUUGGACACUUUAUUACUGGAAGGCUAUUUUCUAGCUUUCUCCUCUCUUACUUUCUAGAUUGAAUGUGCCUCAGGGUAACUGCCAGAGUCAAAUUCUUUUUGUAAAAAGAUAGUAUCAUUAUAGGUCAAGUAUUUUGUAUAUGCAAUGUACAAUUCUCAAUUAAAAUGACAAGUAAUAUAAAGUGAUAAUAACAUAAUAAGAAAUACAAAUUGAAAAAAAAUGUGAACAGGAAAGACUUUUAAGGCCUGAGAUAAUGGAGCAAUCAGACAUAACAAAUUAAAAUAACUUUCCUUAAUGUAUUCAAGGGGAUAGAAGAACAGAUGGGGGAUUUGGGGAGAGGCUAGUAACUCUUAAAAGUCUAAGAAAUUAUAAGAUUGGAAGAUGAAAUAUUUGAAGUUGAGGACUCAACAUGUGACAGGAAAAGCAGAUUAGAUACAGCUAAAGAAAGAAAAAAUAACUGAAGGAUAGGCCAGAGUAAAAUAUCUAGAAUGAAACUCAGAGAAGCAAAAGAGUGUGGGAAAUAGAAGAGAGGGCCAAAGACAGUCAGGAGGUCCUACAUGCAUGUAGUGGAAUCCUAGAGAAAGAGAGAAUAAUGCAGAAGCAAUACUUGAAGUAAUGCCCGAGAAUUUUCUGAAACCAAUUGAAGACAUCCAAUCCUUAAUUUCAAGUUCUACAUAUUAUGUCCCUAGGCAAGAUCCAGUUUCCUGAACGGCCAUCAGGGGGUCAGAUCAUACAACCAGUGCUAGAGAAUUAGCUGCGCAUGAAUGGAACUUAGAACAGUAAGAAAUGGAGGGUAUCUAGAAAGAUAAAUUCCCCCUCUGUUCUUUUUUCCAUUGACUGUUCCUAGCUCUGUGGUUCAUUCUUGCAACCCCUACAUAGAAGUUAGUGUGCUCAGCUACUAAGCAGCCUAUCACGUCUCUUGGUAGUUUGAUGAAAUAUGUUACCAUAUGUUACCAUAUUUCAUUAAACUUGUAUGUUGAAUUCCUUGUAUAUUUUUUUGCCUCAUUACCCCUUUUCCAUAUUCAUACCACCCUGGGGGUACACUUCUCAAAGUAAAACAUACAUUUCCUAAGCACAAUGUUGAUAGAAAAAAUACCAAAUACCAGUUAUAAAGGACUAUAUAUUGUAUGGUUUCAUGUAUGUAACAUGCAAAGACAGGCCGAACUAAAUUAUAACAUUAGUAUUCAGGAUAGUGACUAAUUUGAGAAGGAAGACAGAAUAAAGACUAGAGAUGAGGGCCAUUAGGGGAACUUUCCAUGGUGCCUACAACUUCCUAUUUCUUUGACUAGAACAGUAUAUAUGUUAGUGUUUACUUUAUGAAAACUUUUUGAAUAGCACAUUUGAGUUCUUUUCUAUAUAUGUAUUAUAAUUCACAAUAAAAAAUGUAAACAUCACACUAAAAAUAGUUUUAGGUGUCUUUCAAAAUAUGCAGUGAUGGUUUUUGUGUCAUGUUACACUAUUUGGGAAUCAUCUCCCCACUUGUUAACUAAUGGCAAGUAUUCUAAAUGAAGUUAUACUGUUUGCUGGACGUCUUAAUGCAGUUGACCCAUAACACACAUUUUUUAUAUUAAGAGAAAAUGUUUCUAUUCCUUUCUCCUUAUCAGCCCCUCCAAAAUAUUCACAUAUGACCAUGGGGCAAACACACAAAACAUGAGGCUCAUUUGAUUCUCAGUGAACCAUAUGGUCUAUCUAAACUAUUACACAAUUCCAGACUCUAGCCAAAAUAAGCAAAAAAAAAAAAAAAAAGUUGUUGGAAAGAAAGCUAAUGCUUAUUCAACAUCUAUUAUCCGUUACGGACUGCACCAGGACCUUAUCUUUUGAAAUUUCAUGACAACCCUGUUAUAUAGGGAGCCUUAUCCUUAUUUUAGUAUCAUUGAUAUUCAUGUCAAAUUCCCAAAUAGAUAAUAAAUGCUGCAAAUGCAGCAGUUAUUAUUUCAAUUCUUGGUAUUGCAUUAGUGCUAAAUUAAUAGAUUAUGAAUAAGCCUUCCUAGGCCUUGAUUUUUGAUAUCUAAUAAUAUCAAAAUCACCUCAAGGAGAAUAUGAGGUAAAAUAUCAUGAAGUAAAAUUUUAGUGUGCAUUCAUUCUACACAUUUGGAUCCUAAUCAUGCAAUUCCCUGCUGCCGCUUGGCAGGGAAGCCAGUUGCAAGAAAGAGUUAAUCUUUCUUUUAAGACAUAGUUUAUUCUCUUAACAUUUUUCCUCUUUUCACUGCAGAAACAGGCCUAUUAAUCAUUAUUUUGAAUCAAGGUUAUGCAAGGCCAGGCAGUUCCAACUUGCAAACUGACCAAAGUUUGACCAACUAAGUCCAAAUUUCCAGGACUACAUUUAAGCACAGUGCACUUGUACCUUUACCUGUACUCAUACUUUGCCAAGUGCAUUUUCUCAAACUUUUCAGGGCUGGGAUGCCUUCAAACCCGAAACAGCCUUCCUUGUAUGCGGAAUUUCCUCCAUGCAGACCUCUAGGUGUUAUAACACAGAGGCAGGUUGUCCUUGAGUGAGACUGAUAGAUAAAUGAACCCAUAUUUGCUUCUUUGUUUCUCAUCCCCUAACUUCAGCUGCUUUCUACCCGCUCCUUCCAUGGCCAGUGCUUUUUCCUGCUGUUUGGCUCUCAUGGUUCUUAGUUUAGCUGGGUUAUAGCAGGUGGAGGUGGAUUCAUUAUGGAGAAAGAUCUAGCCUCUGUUUGCUUGUUAUGUAGUUAAUAAAUCACCUUUCCCAGGGCACAUCGGCUGAGCCAAACUAAAAGGAACAUUUCUCAAGGAGGCCAAAAGGCAGGAUAAAAAUCUUUCCCAAAAUGCAGUUUACCAAAGUAGCUGCCAACUCUACUCUUUCUACAUGGAAGGCCAGUCUUCGUCUUAUUUGUAGUCUCUAAAGUAUGAUCUGAUAUCUCACAGGCAUUUCCUUUCUGGAUCUUAUUUUAAAAUUAAUUCUCAUUUAAUGUGGGCUUAUAAUGUGGUUGACACUGAAUAAGAAAUUUCACAAGUUUCUUUCUAUCUAACUAAGCCUCAAAGGCAACUUUGUGAAGUAAAUAUUUUAAUCCUCACUUUAUAGAUAAGAAAACUGACAGUCAAAGAGGUUAAGUGACUGUUGAAGUCCUCCUGGUAAGCUACAGAGCUAAGGCCCUAACCUCCACCUGGUUCUUUCCACUACACACAGUUUGGGAGGAAAAGUAAUUAAUAUGAAGAUUCAUAGGCCGUGUGCAUUAAGCUGCCUGCUUAUACUCAGCAGGUCUAUUAUAAGAUCGUUAUAUUUAUAAAGCGCAGGAUUAUACAUGCAGUUUGCAAUCAGAUACCUACAGGGAUCAAACUACUUAGUUCAUAGUGCUUUGAUCUUAGCCAAGGAAAGGUCUUUCCUGAAUCCAUGGAGCAGAUUGUGAGGCAUGCUCCUCGGAGGUAAAUAAGGAAAGAGAGGUGAUAUUAACAAACUUUAAAACCUAGAUAGUCAGAGAUAAUAUUUGAUGAUGCAGCACAGAGCUUUCUUAUAGUAAAAAGCAUAGUUUAACUUAGAUAAAAAUGUUGCAGUGGGAUGACUUCAUGACUGUUCAUGAAUGCAAUCAGCUUCCUUACUGAGCAUAUUCAAUUUUUACUGCAUGAAAAAAUUUUGGUGCUAUUUUAACCCUCUCAAGUUCAACUUGCAUUUUUAUGUUCAUUAUUUUGGGAGUUGAUGUUUAAUAGGGAUAAAGAUAAGCUAAAGAGAGGAGGGAAAAUUAUAUCUGUUUGUAAGAUUUUUAGUGGUUUAAUCUAUAGAGCAGAGUAUAGCUCAGGGAAAUUCCUGUGGUGAUAUCUGUAAGCAAAAUGUUUUAGCAAAAUGUUAGAUUUACUGAGAAGGCCAUGUUACAUUUUUCUUAAGUUGAGGUUGGAAGGUAGAAAGACUGACAAGUAUUUUUUUCCUUUUUUAUCUUGCCCAGAAACUUAUACACACACACCUGGCACAACACAUGUCAUUCAGGUAGACCUCAUCAUUCAUUAAUAAGGCAUCAACACAGUGUUGAUUCAUUCAUAUCUUUUUCUGUAGAAUCUAAUUGACCAUCCCCUUUGCAGAAAAAACUGAUGAGUCCUGUUGUUGAAGACCCCUAAGAGAUUCAGAUAGUUCAGGCCAGGAUUAUAUGUUCCAUUUGCCUUUCUGAUUCAGCAAAUGAGUUAAGAAGUCACUGUGUCUUAUUCCAUUGUGGCAUUUGUUUGGUCCUUACACCUUUGAUUUUAGUGAUUUUUAAAGGCCCUUGCUGUUGAUGCUGCCAUUGUUUAUUGGGGGAAUUGAAAAUGUAGUUAUACAUAAUCAUGGCUUAUUGUGUUUGCUUUUGUAGAAAGAAGGAUCCAGAGGGUAAAUGUCUUCUUGGUAUUUUCCAGCAGUGUGAACCAUUUCUGGAAAGUGGCUAUGAUGAAAGUCCCCAGCUCAGGCACUGUUGUCAUAGUCCUCUGUUCGCCCACUCUCUGGCUUCAUGACCCAGUUCUUUCCUUUGCUUAUACCACAAACCUUGUCGUCAUUCUCACACUUCAAACACUGGAAAUCUGUUUGUUUCUACUUUUCAGAUAUAAACCUACCACUUCUCACCAGUACCAUGGUUGCCACCCCUGAUCUGAAGCACCAUUAUCUCUUGCCUGAGUUUCUGACUAGUUUCCCUGCUUCUUCCUUAACUUUCCUACAGCCAAUUCUCAACCCAGCCCUAGAGUGAUUCUUAAAUAUACUGCUCCUUAGACUAGAAGCAUCAGCAGAACUUGAGAGCUUAUUAAAAAUUCAGAAUCUCAGACCCUGCUCCAGACCUUCUGAAUAAGAAUCUGCAUUUUAACAGGAUCCUCAGUUAUCAUAAGACUAUCAGUAGUGAAAGAUUAUGAAAAAAGUGAUCAACCAACCAAUGAACGAAAACAAAAACUCUUUGAAUUUAUCAUAGACCAAAAUGCAAAAAAAAAAAAAAA